UACAGAGGGGGCAAGCGUUGUUCGGAAUUACUGGGCGUAAAGGGCGCGUAGGCGGCCUUCUAAGUCGAACGUGAAAUCCCCGGGCUCAACCCGGGAACUGCGUCCGAUACUGGAAGGCUUGAAUCCGGGAGAGGGAUGCGGAAUUCCAGGUGUAGCGGUGAAAUGCGUAGAUAUCUGGAGGAACACCGGUGGCGAAGGCGACAUCCUGGACCGGUAUUGACGCUGAGUGAGCGAAAGCCAGGGGAGCAAACGGG
rnacentral:rRNA from 1 species